AAGUCGUAACAAGGUUUCCGUAGGUGAACCUGCGGAAGGAUCAUUAAAAUUAAUUUAUUACAUUGUUUUUGAAGCAAACACUAAUAACCAUUAAUAUUCAACAACCUAAAAAAAAUCAAAACUUUCAACAACGGAUCUCUUGGUUCUC
rnacentral:misc_RNA from 1 species